GUCGAUGCUUUGGGUGACUCAAACUUAGUUUCUGACUCUGCCACAAGCUUUCCACUGAAGCUUUCACCCCUCUGCGUUGUACUCGUCCACACAGACUCUCCUGGUUGACACUGCUGGGGAGGGGGUCGACACUGCUGGGGAGGGGGUCGAUGCUGGAAGUUAAAUGCAUGUGGAUAUGAAGCAUUCAGAUGCUACAAGAGCCAGGAGGAGGCAUGUAAAUAACACGCACAGGUUCCAACAGUAUCACCUAAAGGCUCUUCAAGAAUGGGGUAAACAGCAUCUCCUAACUAGGCCAGGAUAAGCAAAUUCCAAAUGAUGGCUUUCAGGUGUGAGCAAGAUACAGUCUGUCCGAAUACAGGUUUUUACACCAUUGAUCACAUACCAGAUAUUCUCUUACAUACACCAUCUGCAAAAGGAUGACUGCACAAGACAGCCUUUUGGAAUGUUUUAUGCACCUUCUUACUCCACCCAAAGAUAGAUGUGCUAUUACAGCUGUCACUAUUUUCUUCAGUAUUUCUCAUACAACUCUCAAGGAACUCAAAACAUUUUUCAGGUUUCAAUGAACCAAGCCACUGGCCUUUCGUGUAACCCAUUUUGAUUGCAAAUGCAUAGCCGUAUCACACCUCCACGCGAGGAGCAGAGAAGGUGAGAGAGAGCAGGACCUCAGCACUGUGGCAGGCAACGGACAGGACCAUGCCAGGCGUUAGCUGGAUCAUCACAGGCAGCUCCAGACAUCAAAUGUGAUAAUGGCUUAACAGACAUUACUUCUUUUUGAAUCAAACCUUUACGAUUUUCUCUAUGUUAUCAUAAAGGGAUGGUAUCCAGCUAAAUAGUCUUUUUAUAUACAACCUAAUAGUGCCUUCUCAUAACACUGUGAUGCCCUGGUAUUCAUGACAAGCUUUAAAUCCUCUGCAAAGGGAGAAAAUUCAAUUAAAAAAAAAAGUCAGUUUUCAGACAGAAAGCUUAGAUACAAUACACUUUAAAAGAGCUAGGGAAGAAAAUAAGUUUUUUCUUUCUUUGGGCCUUCAGUCCCUCAGAAUUCAGAUGGCAGGUUCCUUCCCCUUCACUGUGGCUUGUGUCACAGGUUGCCUCUGUUAAGAUCAAAGACAUUUGGUUUCUAUUACCCUAUCUGAAAGAGAAGUCCACUGAUAAAGAAGUCUCCACCCUAAUGAUUAAACCCUAUUUGGAUUUAAAUACUGGGCAGAGCCCUUCAGCCUGCAGGCCAGGAUUAGAGGGUUCAUGACUCCAGUGCCUAUGUGCUAAUCUGGAUGCAGACCAUGUGUAGCCUGCCUGGGAAAUGUUAUGUCAUUUGGUUUUCACAGCCCUCUACCCUCGGCCCAGGGUAAUCUUUUUCUUCUAGUGGUGCUACCAGGAAAUAAAACAGAGAUGAAUCCAUCCUAAACAGCUACACAACAAUGAGAGCUAAAUAAGUGAGGAAAAAUUACAGAAUUAUUAUUUAGAAAUGGCUCAAAAUCAAUCAGUACCUAAAUGAUCUUUAAAACUGUGGUUUAAUUCUGAUUAGUUUAUGGAGGUCAAGGAGGGAGAACCAGAGAAACAAUUAAAUUUAAGGUUAAUCAGGAGAGGCAGAUUUUGUUGUUGGGUUUUUUUUUUGGUCUUAGGAACCAUUUUCAUUCUCUAAAUAGCAUUAAGGGUUUCACGCUGGUUGCAGUGACCAAAGAUUGAUAACUGUAUCCACAGGAGGCUCUUUUCAUUAUGGAAGCCAUAGAGGAGCAAAUAGUUUAGUGUGGAAGGUAUUUUGAAAUUAUACUCAGGAGCGUCCAGAGACAAAAGAUUUGUGAUUGCAGCUCUAGUUUCAGACCUUAAAAGGAACAUAUUUGCCUGACAGUUACUUUAGCUUUUUUUUUGCCUGGCAGUGUCUGUCUGAUAAAAGCUAUCACCAUUCCCCAUAAGCCUUGCCUUGUUAUAUCUACAUCUCUACUACAGCAUUACUACUGGCAAAUGUACUAGGGCAAGAGAGCUUUUUUUUGUUUGGUGAGAGAGAAAAAUAUUUUUAGAAAAAUACAUCCUGAGAGUGUAACAUGAGCACUCGGUUGUGUGGGUAAAUGCUCUGUGUUUCAUUUCCUUUUUUUUUUUUGUUUUUGUUUUAACAGUUGGGUGAGAUUUUGCCAUCCCUACUGAUGCUGAGUAGUAUUUUUCUUCCUGAUAUUCUGUGAAAAUGGAACAGAAAUACUGGAGCUAUUGACAGGCUGAUCCUGUACCCAAGAAAGGCAACGACAGUUGAGAGUUUCCAUAACCCAUGAUUAUAUCCUGAAAGCCAAGAUUCUGCCUGUUUUGGUUAUGCUGAGUGUUACAAGACAUCCUACUGAUGUCAGUGCAGGUCUCAUGGCAUACCUUGAUGUGAGCAAGACUGACAAAGGUGGCCAACAUAAACAGGCCACCCAUUCCACUCUUUUUGGUGAAUUAUCUUUCAGGAGAUUAUAUGAAGUAUUUGGUUUGGGAACAUGAUAUUAAAAAAGGGUUUGGUGUGGAAGGUUCUUUGCCCUCCCAUAUGAUUGACUGAGUAAAGCAUCCUCAUCCUAUUAUUAUUAUCUUGGCUCCAGCAAGGGAUGCUGCAGGUAAAUAUGCCAAGCUUUAAAGUGAAUGGACAGUUUCUUUCUCUGUUCUUACUGGAGUGCUUACACAGACAGUCCCUCCUUCCACUCCUGUGGGAGAAGCCAGCUUGGGUCUGUGCCCAUGUGCAUGAGAACAUUCACUCGAUUAUUUCUUUUUUUUCAAGGGUUAGUUGGAUUUACUUGGUAAGAACUCUGCUUGAGCAGAGAAAGCUAACACAGGAAAAUUAGGGGAAGUACUGCUUCAAAUUCUGCCUACUUGUGAGUUUUCAGUUUUCUCCUUUCCAAGAGGAAUGGACCAUUUCUGGUCCAGGCUCUUCAUAACCAGCCUUACUGACAUGCCCAUGUUUUUUAAGGCCUAACAUUUUUGGACAAGAAGAAAGAGAUUUAGUCGUCUUUAAACAUACUAAUUAACCACAAAGGAUGUAUGAACCAGCUGAUGAUGUCACAUCACCAUAUUAGAGAAGAAUUUAUUAAUCCUAAGGGAGCCCUCAGGCAUACUAUGGUAUGAAUUUGGCACAUAAAGGCAAGUCAAUCUUUAGGGCACAGCGAUGUUCUCUGCUUGCUCAGCUCGGCUCUUCAGCCUUUCCUGAGCAUUUUCUCCCAGGAGGUCAUGCUUACCCCACUGCUAAGACUUGAGGUUACAGCGCUAAAUGAAUUUUCCCUUUACAUAGAUAAUUUAUAUCUCAAAGUACUUUAAUGGUGCUAUGGAAAGCAAUUCAAAAGCUGGAAGACAUGCAGCAAGUUCAUAACAUUAAUCAUAUUAAAUCCAGGUGAUCAAAACCACUAAUCUAACCAUAAAGCAUAAACAGCUAAAAAAAUCAAUUGAGAAACCUAAGGAAAAGUAGUUAAUGUUCUGUUUUAGAGACUCAAAAUGGCAGUACUGAGUAGCUAUAGUAAUUUUAGUUAUAGUAAGCUCUUUGUGAAGAGAAUCCCACUUGUUUUAGAGUCUCCAGAUAGUCACUUGUUGACACACAAUCACAGUUUCAGACCUGUUCUGAUAAUUCAGCAACUUUAAUGUAAAGCAUUAGCAGAGUGUUCAGAAGCUGUAAGGGGAGCCAUGCUUAAAGCCAUGUGACAGGGGACUGGGAGUUUGUGUCCCUGGUGACGUAGCCCUCCGGCUCUGUCAGCAGGCAGGACUAGAUCUCAACAUGCACAAUAUUCUCAAUUCUGUGGUUUUGCCUCUCUAAUGAGUCCAAUUUUUUAUUUAAGAUGUUAGUAAUGCCUUCAAAAAACCCUCCUGUAUUGUCUUUUCUUUUUUUAAAGGAAAUCUGUGCUCUCUUGCAGUUAUUUUCCUUCCUAUCUCAUCAUUACCUUUUGCACAAAUGCAUCAUGUAUUAAAAAGUUUAUUAGGGCAAAUGAUGCUGUCAUGAUAUUUAAUUGGUCAAAAUCCUGUUAAUAACAAAUGAGAGACUAACAGCAACUUACAGCAGAUUUGCCAAGUGGCAGAGAAAAUACGUAUUAUUUCCAUUUUAUUUUGGAGUGCUGCUAAAAAGCAUUUUCAACUUGACCCUAAAUUGAUGUAAACCACCAUGUCUGGGUCAGGGCAGAAGUCAGGGAGCAGCCGGGGGACAGCCCCAACCCUGCGCGUGGGACACCUGCCUGGGGAUGGGGACAGGCCAGACUGAGACAUCAGCCCGCAAGUGGUGGAGGCUUGGUGGCACACGGCCACAUGGCGGAAGGAGCUGCAGCUCAGGCAGGGCCAAAGCAAAAGCCUCAGCUGGAAGCAGCUCCUCCGGGCCAAGGUUGGGCACACGAUGCCUGGGAGGUCUCCCCAGGGUCACCGCGGGGAAGGGGCCACCCUUGGCCGUACAGGUUCUGAGCUGUCCCCAGCCCUGGCAGCCAAACCUCCGGGAAACCCCAGGGAUGCUCACACCUUACGGCAGAGCUUACCAUAAUGUUUUCCCAAGAAACUCCUUCACAAAGGCUGCAUAUUUUUUUUCUUUACUCUAUGGCUAGAGGACAACAGCAGAAAAAGAUUACAGUCAUAUGCACCCAUCAAUCUGGGGUGAGCACAAUUUUCCAGGCACCAUUGGCUCUACAGCCAUGUCUGUGCUAGUACAUUAAUCAUGCCUGGAGUGUUUUGCUGCAUCUCGGUCCAGCUGGCAAGAAACUGCCCAACUCCUUGCUAUGAAGGCCUAUUGCCCUCCAAAGCUGGCUGUCAGCAUCCCAUUGCCUGUUAGGAGCACCACCCGGCCACCACCUGCUCCUCAGCAUUGCUGAGGGAGUCGCAGGAAGACUGCAGCAGCCCCUGGCCAAAACUCUGUUAGCAAUUUAACAGAGCAGGCAGCUGAAGUUCAGCACCUGGAGAGACUCCCAGCCCUGGUGAAUUUGCUAGUGCAGAGCCCACGUGUUCCACGCGCAGUUUCCACUGGCUCGCAUGUGCAAGCCCAGAGCACUCCCCCCUGGCAGCAGGUGCCGAGGUCUCCAGCCAACCAGCCAAAACGCAAGGAAGAGUCAAAGGCAGCUUUGGUGGACGUGAUGAGAACUCACAAUCACCUAAGUAAACUGUGUUGACAGCAGUAAUGAUAUGGACAGAUUUAGGCUGUUGGGACUACGAUGAAUUGCUGAGAUGAAUCUUCCUGUAGCUACAUUUUUGCCUGGAAAUCCAGAAUUAAGAACCCUAGCUAACACACUUGCUGGACAUGCCUUACAUUUAAUGUAAUAAUUUAAAUGGAAUCCAACAUUUGCCUGAUUUGAUCAUCUUGUUUCAGCAAGAUGGAACAACAUACGUGUUUCUAGAUGAACCUAUGUUUCUGAAGGAUGCUUUCUGGGGAGUUCCCUGCAGUGUUGUGCUUCCCUCAUCAAUGUGCAAACCUGUUCUUAAAAAGGUGCACUGCCUCAGGACUAGCAGACAUUUUGUGUGCACCAGUCAUGCUCCCUCUUUAUUGAAGUAUUGAUUAUACUAUAUUAAUUUUCUGCAUUAAAUAAAAAGUCUUCUUGGGAUCAGAGUUCAAACUCUGACCAAAAAAACUUGGUUACUACAGGCAUGGUUCAGGAUUCUUCCUGAGUAGCAAUUUUGAUUCCUUGUAAUUGACCUUUUCACAAUGUAUCCUAGAUCUUGAGAGAGGGGUUGGCUUUACAGAAAACUUCCGUUAAUAUUUUUCUGAUUGCACUUCUCAGCCAUAUUUCCUCCCCCUUACUGUUAUAAUAAUAAUGAACUUCCCAUUAGUAUUGGAUUAGGUGACAGUCUUUGGUUGUGUUGGUACGACGAGUGUCGCUCAGGUGGCAGCCUCGUUGCUGCAGGCGCCAUGCAAACGCAGCAAGAGACAUUUCCUGCUCCCUACGAGGAGCAUGUGCCCCCAGGACACUGCAUGGCAAAACUGGGAGCAUUCUCAAAUGGGACCUGAGCAAUUUCUUUCACUACAUUUCAUUUGGUUGCUUCACUGGUUGCCUCAUUUUGCCUCUCAAACGGCACAUUCAGAAUAGUUCAGUGAAAGGUGUAAGAGUUGCAUGUCUGGAUCACUCAAACUUAGCUGGGAAAUGGACCUCAUGACUUAGUGAUGAAGCAGACCUUGGAGUGAACUAGAAAACUCCAGCAUGGAAAUGUAGUGAGGUUAAGCAUAAAGGAGCUCUGUUUGCAGAGCAGGAUAGCAGCAGACAAAAAUAAAGAAUCCUUAAAUUAUUUUCCUCGUCCCCACUUACCUCCUUGCAAAAGGAUGCUGUUUCUGGUAGCUAAAAGGCACGCAUCAUUCACGUGCCUGAGAGUUGCGUGUGGUUGCUAGGUGGCAAUAGAGUUUUUAGAUCGUUAUGUUACUAUCCCAGAGGGCUGCAAAAAAUCAGUGCACAAGAGCUGCUCAUUAACUGGUAGUCCAUGAAGUUUCAAAGAGUGUCUGUAAGAUGGAAGUCCUCUUCUCUUGAUCUUUCUCCAACUCAUGCUUCUGAAUUCUUAAAAAUACUUAGGAGGAGAUUUUAAGUGCUGUAAUCAAUGAAACUGCUUCGGGUCUUAUUUGACUUAUACAACCAGUUGCCCUAGAGUAUAUUCAGGAGAUGGAGAAUUAAUCAGCAGAGACAGCAGGUGUUAUGAGCCCCUAUUCUUUCUCUGGUACCUGCAGGGAUCAUGUAAAGCCCUACAGGAGUAUUUCAUACCAAGAUCCAAUGAAUGGUAGCAUCUAACAGAUGCUUCGUUCUCUGACAACCUUAGCUGAAGUAGACCAGAAGCAUCUGAUAUUUGUUUUUGAACAGAGGAUCAGAAAGUAGGAAGCUCAAAGAAUCCCACCCAGCUCAUAUGCCUGGUAGUUCUGAAUCAAGAACAAAGUGGAUCUUCUGAACACAUUUUGCAGGACACAUAUUAGCCCUCACCUCAGUGUUAUCCUGUAAAAAAAAAACCUGAAAAUGAUCAAGUGGUGCAACUGUAGCCACAUCUGGCCCACACAACACAUUAUCAAAAUCCAACAUGAAUGAUGAGUCUUCAGUGCAAUGAAGGCUAAUACUUAAGGGGACAAUCUUGCUCUAAACCAGUCAGGAAGUAGGUGGGUUUUCAGGGCAAAGGCCCCAUAUAUCCUACUAGAACUCUGUUAACUCAAACUUCCCUGUCCAACCCAAAGAUGUAUGUGCUUGAUGACAGUCAAUCUGAAUUUGGCUUUUAAAAUCAGGCUGAGGAAUGCAACUGCAUUUAAGGACUGAAAUCCUGUCCUUCAGAACAAAGCAGAGAUGUCUGGUAAAAUCCCAAGAUGCUGUAAGAAAUAAUUAGGUGGCAGCAGAAUAAUCAGAUCAGCUCUGUGGCUGACAAAGUGUGAAAAAUGGGAGAAAGGUUAGGAUCUGUGGUCUGACUGAUUUCUGAAGUAAACUACAUCAGCAGCUCAUAUUACAUGCAAUGUACCUACAAUAUUAGGUUUCAUACAGUUCCCUAAUACCAAAAAUACAAUUUUCAGGAGUGAUUAUACAUUUGGGAAUACAUAUGGGGAAAAUAAGACUAUUAUUGUGCAAAAACCAAAGCCCCAGCCUUUAUUUUUCACAAUACAUUUCAAGUACAUGCAGAACGUAUUUACAUUUCUCUUUAAGGCAAACAGAAACCGGGUUCUUAUUCCUGAGUUGCUUAGCACCAGUAGAAAUAGCAAAUAAAAACUUAGGAAAUGUUGUCUCUCCCUUUGAAGCUACAGCUGCCUCCCAUGCAAAAUAUUUCUGCUUUCACCUUGCAUUUCUUUUAAUGAGCUAUUUACACUAAUAAUCUCUUUUGGUGUUCGGAGCCAUUUCUGCAGGUUGCAAUCUCUUAGUAGAAACAUCUUGCCAAGAUGUGACAAACCUUCCAUGUUUGUUAUUUUACCUUACAGACUUUGCUGACUAGACAGCACUUCAGUCUUUGCUGGCACAUGCAUCAAGGUCUUCUCUUCAGUUAAGAGUUCUGUAUUCCCCAAUAUUUAG